GCGCGUGUAGCUCAGUGGUAGAGCGCUUAACUUAUAAUUAAGUGGUCGGAGGUCCGAUCCCUCCCACGCGCA
rnacentral:tRNA from 1 species